GUAAAGUGCUUAGAGUGUAGCAUUAUGAAGCUUUACAUCAAUUCCAUUACAGAAAUAUUGUGCCAAGCAUAAAAGUGAAGUGGAAACGUAAAAUAUGGAAAACAAUUGUUCAUGUUUUUCUACAAACUUGAAGCAGAAAUCCAGAGAGAAUUUCGCAACGUUAUAUGAAAAUCCACAUUAGUGUGUGCACCUAAAUUCCUGGACCGCAUGGAACAAAAUUUGCUACAACUUUGCGACGAUCUUUUUCUCUCUCGAGAUUCAAUGGAACUCCCACAUCCAAGGCUGGCCCACGCUUCCUACUGGAAAUUUGCACACUGGAAAAUGCAUGAAACGACUUUCAGCAGCGUCUCACCUCAGUUAUGGACCACUCUCCAGGAAGUCACCAUUCGAUAAUUCGGAUCAACAUCGUCCACUUCCUCCUGCAACAAGUAAUGUAGCGUCUUCUAAUUCGGUUUAAAUAAGUUUAUCCGCUUCAAAAAUAGAGAUAUAUGUACUGAUCUUACCUUAAACAUAACCGAUAACUACACAAAUUAUUUCAGCAUUUGAGCUUCUAAGUUUGCCAAUUUUUCAAUGACAUCUACAAUUUUAUUACAAAAUUAUUUAUAUUAAGUUGCAUAAAUUUAACUCGUCCAACUUUUGUAAGCAGAAUUUUUACGUAUGUAUUCGUCUUAUCUGUUUUGAUGAUACUCAGAGUUUGGGGAAUAUUAACUAAUUCGAAGUUAGUUUCCCGUGCAAUCGAAAAAUUUAGCACAUUCGAGCCGCUUUCAUAAGUUCGUUGGCCAAUCAAAUCCUGUCCCCAGUGACGCGGGUGUCAAAAAAGCAGAUACACAUCACGUGGCUAUUAUUUAGAUAAUCAUUUUUCGUCAAUUUUUAUGAACAUUUUCGUUUAUAUUUGUUACUCUAUUGCUAAAUUGAAGUCGACCUUCCUCCUGUUUUCAUAUUUGGCCAGUGUAAUGUCACUAUUCUAUUGUCCGGUUCGGAAUAAUCCUGAAAUACUAGAAAAGCGCAUGGGUCCAUUUGUUUGACAAACAUGUACAAUUUGUUGAAUAAGGUUAAGUCUGCUACAUAUAUAUAAAUAAUUACA